CUUUUGUCAUUUACUUUCUGUUCAACUGUGUUUGUCAUUUUCAAUACUCUUUCCCUAUACGAGGAUUGUGUUAUCAUCUUCAUAUGUUAUAAUCAGUACAAGGGAAAUACAAUGAAUUUUAAAUACUUCUAUUUUCUUGUAAUGUAAUCCAUCAAUGUAGAAUAUAUUUAAUUUGUAGGGAAUUUCUAUAUUGAAAUCGUAGAAAUGGACCUUUUCUACUUUUGCCAAAAGGCCGUUGGUGGGUGCUUGAACAUUUGGAAGAAUCGCUAUAGUGAUAUCUUGACCACAUCAUCUAAUAAACACGAUCAUGUAGAAAAUGUUUAUGUAUUGUGAAAUACAUUAAAUACCCAAUGGAAGGUCUAUAUUUCAAGAAGCUAAGAUGUGGGUUUCAAUAAUUUGAUUCAGUGCUUUGAAGAACCGAAAAUUGGAGAAGUUAAAAGAAAAUAUUAACAAGAAAAGAUGAAUGCAACGAGUGAAAAGGCGAAGACCAAGCUGCUAUUUCAAUAAAAGUACCUAAUUGCCCUCACUCCAUCCUCUCAAUAUUGGCUUAGGCCAUUGAGUAGUAGCAAUGAAAAUCCUUUGGAUGGCAAAAGAGGAAGCUUUGUUUUCAAACACUAAAUCCAGCAUAAAUCAGUUAGCUCGUCGUCUAAACAAACAGUAUGACUUUUACUUGAGAUCACUUGGGAUUCAGUGUGAAAUCGAAGAGCAAAACAGGGGAAGUGUUUGGACGAGGUCACCUAAUCAAUGGGUAAACCUUAGUUUUGACUCCAUGGCAAGAUGUUGUGUAAUAAUGUAGGCCAUAGCCUUGCAAAAUGGACCAAAACAAAAGGAGGAGGAGAUACUAUCCCUUUGUAAACAAGACGCUGACUUCAAUCCAUGUCUGCUAUGCUGUGGAAGAUUCCUGAUUCAACUACAAAGAAACAUGUCACGGGGCCAGCUAAUCUGAUAUGUCAUGUUAGCUGCUGGCAGCUUGAGCAUGAAUGGCAACAGUAUAUUGCAGCUAUUACAAAGUUGGCUAUUAGGGAGUGUCUAUAGUAUGCAAGUAAUUGAUGCCAUCUACUUAUCUGAUAAAUAAUUUAUGCAUCCACUUUUUGGGUACACGAUGAUGUACCUUGAUGUUAGCACUUCACUGUUUUAUGUGAAAUUAUAAUGAACUUUCGGCUUCUCACAGUGUGGAUAGAAGUAGGAUCCAGCAAAUUUAAUAGCUGACAUAUAAACUUGAGAUUUCUUAAUUUUGGUUGAAUAAAUUAGAAAAAACUUGUGAAAAGGCAUCAAGUCUUCUAGGCUAAGAUUUGUAGCCACUAACAUGAACCUUGAGUAUCAACGCGGACAUAAUGUCUAACAAGUGUCCUGGGGCAUUCAUAUAAAAAGGUGUUUUACUAUCAUGAUCAAGGAAUUUUCUUUUGGAUGUCUAACGGUGUAAAUAAGAAAAAUGCUAGUGUUAUAAGCUUAUUCAUAUCUGUACCAAAACAAUACAUCAAUAAUCUGGGAAGUCUAGGGUAUGACAAAUAUAGAGGCAAAUGUAUUUGCGAUAAUAGCUUCCAAACCAGGGGAAAUUUUGAGAAAGCACACAACAGCUGAUAAUCGAACUUGCAGUUCUUUUUUCAUGUUAAAUUAGAGAAUUCUUUGGAUAUGGAGACCAUUUUGCUCCUUUAUAAAUGCAAAGCCUUUCAUUUUAGUAUAUAAUUGUCUCUCCAAUUUUUUUUUUUUCUUUUAAAGAGCUUUCAUCUAGUGCUUCAUGACUCAAUAGGCUGCUUUAACCAAAAAAUAAUUCUGAAGAUAUUUCAUUAAGAUUGUUCAGUGUCUCUUCGCCCAAUGCAUUGUGUGAAGGCAUAUUUUCUUACAUGCAACCAUAUCAAAAUUGUUUUUGCUUAUGUGCAGUUUAGUAAGCUCUUUUACAUCAUUAUUUGGUACUGUAUGUGUUGUUUUAAGUCUUUUUUAUGUGACAAAUAAUUAUUUUAUUGAUUUCAUUUUUUACAAUUUGAAUAGGUUUGCAUCUCAAAGUUCACUUAUUUUUUCUGCAUUAUCUCAAAUGCUGGUUCUUGUAUGUUUUACUUUUUCCUUUAUUGUUGUGGUAUUCUCUCCAAAAAAUUUUCAUUUCAAGGCCUUUUAUAGUGCUUCAUGACUUAUUAGAGAUUAGACUCCUUCAAUAAAAAAAACUGAAGAAAUUAUAGGCUUGUUCAGUGUCUUCCCCUAAUGCAUUGUGUGAAAGAUUUAUUUAUUUGUAACCAUAUAAUAAAGUUUUUGCUUAUGUGUAAUUGGGUAAAUUUUUUUACAUCAUUAAUCAGUACUCUGUGUUGUUUUUAGUCUUUUUCAUGUGACAAAUAUUAUUUUAUUGAUUGUUCAUUUUGAACAAUUUGAAUACAUUUUCAUCUCAAAGUUCCCAUAUCUUUUCUGCGUUAUCUCAAAUGCUGGUUCUGGUGUGUUCUACUUCUACCUCUUCUUUUAUCAAUUGAUUUAUUUAACAGCAUUUUUUCAAAUGCUUUAUGACAAAUUUGAUUUGUACCCCUGUAUUGUUGUAGUAGUAUUGUCUCUCCAAAAUCUGAUUUAGGAGGUCUAGGCCUGUGCUUAUGGCCUAAGUGGAAUCUUCAUUGGCUUGGGUAUCAGAAUUAAAAUCUUCUAGUGUUGAGAUAUCCUUGUUUACCAUGUCAAGAUAUAAUUCCAGAUCAUUUGCAGGAAAGAGUUGCAUCCUUGAGGCACAGGCAAUAUGUGCUUAUUGCAUGACAAAAUAAGGGUAGCAAUGGCAUUGUAACCUACCCCAUCUGAAGUCCUUGAUAUGGGUUUGCAUGAAACAUUUGCAACAUGAAGAUGCCAAGAAUUGGAAGCUUAUAUCCAUGGAUACACUUCCAAUUCAAAAUAAAUACAUUUAAGAGUGGCAGGAUGUUUUGCAUAGAGUUCAUUAGCCAUGGAGACCAUGAUUCAAUAGUCAAAUAUGGACAGUUGGGUUAAGUGGGUUGAUUCUGAUCCACCUACAGCCAUAUUGCAGCUAGAGGUGCCGUGCUGGGAACUUGAGGAAGAAGAAUGAAAUUUGAAGUUGACUUGGAAUAAAUGCCCACAUCAUGAUCAUCAUGUGGUUCUUUUGUGAUUAGCUUGUUGUGAGCAGUCCUCUAAUCAAGGGCAAGGUUAGGUGCAAUGCAGGGUUUGUCCUCAUGAUCAUGUUUUGGCAAAUUACUUUUGCUAUGUCAAGAUUGGUAGGUUCCUGUCAUGGUUGAAGGAUGUUGCAAAUGAAAAUCUAAGUGGCAUGGUGCUUGUGUUAUUUGUAAAUCUAGAGAUUGGUACAAGGUUCUUGCUGGUUGUUGGCAUUGGCUUACUACCAGUGCUAUUUGUCCUUCCAUUAAGGAGGCCAUUUAAAAUCUGGUGUAAAGAGGGUGCUGGUAAUUUUGGUCUUGACAAGUAGCAGAGCUGUUUCAAAAUUAAUUCUCAGGAAGGGUUGGACUCAAAGAGCGUUCAUUAGAUGAAAGCUUGAUUGCUUGUAGUUUUUAUUUCCCCUGGUUUUGGUUGUAAUUUUUUAAGAUUAUUUUACUUCUUCGAUAUGCUGACAGUAGAUUUACUUCUUUGGUGUUUGGUUGGCUCUAAAGAUAUUUAUAGUCUUUGUUGUA